CUGGAAACGGUAGCUAAUACCGCAUAACGUCGCAAGACCAAAGAGGGGGACCUUCGGGCCUCUUGCCAUCGGAUGUGCCCAGAUGGGAUUAGCUAGUAGGUGGGGUAACGGCUCACCUAGGCGACGAUCCCUAGCUGGUCUGAGAGGAUGACCAGCCACACUGGAACUGAGACACGGUCCAGACUCCUACGGGGAGGCAGCAUG
rnacentral:rRNA from 1 species